UACAUAAAUUUUAAUAAAAACAAUAAUUUCCAUUAAUAAUAUAAAAUAAAAAAAAUAAAGAUGUCAAUACAAUACUAAAAGCUGAAUAAUCUCAACUCUUAACCUGUCAAUGUCGACAAAUUAAAUCGACCAAUAGGAGUUGAGCUUUGCACCACGUCAGAUGCGUCAGUUAACUCAGCUGUACUUCAAUCACAUUUUACGUUUGGGUUUCGUAAAACAUAGUGCAGUUUCACCACAUUUAAUCAACCAAUCAUAGAUCAACUUCCUUCCACAUCACCAUAUUGUUUGCAAAGACAGCGAUUUCUCAGCUUCACCUUCGUCGUUAAUCAUCUUUACUUUGUAGUUGAUUUUACUCUGUCUCUCACUCUUUUACAUUUAAUUCUUCAUUAAUCCUUGCAACUGUCCACGUUCCGACUUCCGUUCUUUCAUAUACGAACUCUUCAAAAAAUUCAGUACACCCACACCAAACGAUGGCUAUGAAAUCUGGAAAAACUGAAUCAUAUUUACUCUUCCUUUCCAAAAGACAAUUGUUCAGAUUGGUAACACCGGUGUGAAUCUUUGUAAGCUAAAAAGUCAGAGACUUCGAGAUUAGCGACUGGGACAUUAGAUGGAGUUUGAGUCGAGCAAGAUAGAAAAAAAGAGAUGGAGUUGGUUCCGGCGAGGGAAGAGAGACAUGGGUAGCUUGAUGGAAUUGGUUCAGAGACAAUGGUGAAGUUACAUGAAGCCAAGCAAGAAGAAGGAGAAGAAGAAGAAGAAGAAGAUGAGAAAGGCGGAGAAGGAGAGAAGACAGAGACACAAGGAGGAGGAGGGGGAUGGAGUAAGAUGACGACAACGGCGUAGAUUAGGUUUGGUUUACUUAGGUUUGGUUUAAUCUGUUUUGAAUAGUUUUUGAGUAAAUGUGUUUGGUAUUUUUUUUUAUCUUUCAGUGUAGACUAUUUCUUAUGCUUAGAUAGUUACAUCUGCUGUUCUAACUACUGGUUUUGCAUUUUUGUACUUUGGACUUUUCUCAUUCUCGUGUGCAUAACAGCUCUAAUCUCA